GACAGUGUAACUUAGUGAUUAAGGAGCUGGGCUCGUAACCGAAAGGUUGCCGGUUCGAUUCCCUGCUGGGG